UCAGUGUCUCCCAAGUUUGAACUGUUCUCAAGGAAACAAUGCUGAGGAACAUGAAAAGAACCUUGAAGGAUGUUUGUACCGCUUCCUCAAGAAUGUGAGCUCCUCUGAUGCUGGGACUUAUAACUGUGCUGUACUCACAUGUGAGGAGAGAUUAUCUGGAAACAGAUCAGAACUCAACACUGAAGACACCAUGUGGGACUCGCAGAGGAACCAAAUCAUCGUCUCUCUGUUGUGUGCUGCUUUGGCUAUCAGUCUGAUUGUCAUAGCCUUUCUCAUUUACUCAGUCAAGAAACUCAAGAAAGAAUCUUGUGGUUGUUGCAAUGCUUCUGUUGCUUUGCAAACAAAUGCUGCAGCAGCCAGCAGGAAUCAGCAAAUUCAACAGACAGAUGAGGACUCAUUGGUUUAUUCUGCACCAAUCUUCAUCAGGAGGCAAACUAGUAAAGAAGGGAC